rnacentral:misc_RNA from 1 species
GAUAACGCGAGGUUAA